rnacentral:tRNA from 1 species
CCCUCCAUAGCUUAGUGGUAGAGCAAUCGGCUGUAGACCGAUGUGUCCCAGUUCGAUUCUGGGUGGGGGGA